rnacentral:rRNA from 1 species
UACGUAGGGGGCUAGCGUUGUCCGGAAUCAUUGGGCGUAAAGAGCGUGUAGGCGGCCCGGUAAGUCCGCUGUAAAAGUCAAAGGCUCAACCUUUGAAUGUCAGUGGAUACUGCCGGGCUAGAGUCCGGAAGAGGCGAGUGGAACUCCUGGUGUAGCGGUGGAAUGCGCAGAUAUCAGGAGGAACACCGGUGGCGAAGGCGGGUCUCUGGGCCGAAACUGACGCUGAGGAGCGAAAGCGUGGGGAGCAAACAGG